rnacentral:rRNA from 1 species
AUUGAACGCUGGCGGCAUGAUUUACACAUGCGAGUCGAACGGUAACAGGCCGCAAGGUGCUGACGAGUGGCGAACGGGUGAGUAAUGCAUCGGAACGUGCCCAGUCGUGGGGGAUAACUACUCGAAAGAGUAGCUAAUACCGCAUACGAUCUAUGGGUGAAAGCGGGGGACCGUAAGGCCUCGCGCGAUUGGAGCGGCCGAUGUCAGAUUAGGUAGUUGGUGGGGUAAAGGCUCACCAAGCCAACGAUCUGUAGCUGGUCUGAGAGGACGACCAGCCACACUGGGACUGAGACACGGCCCAGACUCCUACGGGAGGCAGCAGUGGGGAAUUUUGGACAAUGGGCGCAAGCCUGAUCCAGCAAUGCCGCGUGCAGGAAGAAGGCCUUCGGGUUGUAAACUGCUUUUGUACGGAACGAAACGGCUCUGGUUAAUACCCGGGGCUAAUGACGGUACCGUAAGAAUAAGCACCGGCUAACUACGUG